rnacentral:rRNA from 1 species
UACGGAGGGGGCUAGCGUUGUUCGGAAUUACUGGGCGUAAAGCGCGCGUAGGCGGCUUUGUAAGUUAGAGGUGAAAGCCCGGAGCUCAACUUCGGAAUUGCCUUUAAGACUGCAUCGCUUGAAUCAUGGAGAGGUCAGUGGAAUUCCGAGUGUAGAGGUGAAAUUCGUAGAUAUUCGGAAGAACACCAGUGGCGAAGGCGACUGACUGGACAUGUAUUGACGCUGAGGUGCGAAAGUGUGGGGAGCAAACAGG